CAUGCCCAACCUUAUCAACGGGGCGCGUAAUAUUUUGCUAGCGGCAUUUGGACUAUUUUUUUUUUUUUCAGUUUUGUUUUUUGUCUUUCCACUGCAAUCAUUGCAGGUUCAAUGUACCUGAGUUAUCCACAGCUCGCGCGCAGAACAUGCAAAAUGUAUGUAAAUUAUGGCAUAAUAUGUACAUAAAGGCAGGACAGGAGGGCAGAUAGCCAGACGGUGCGAGGGGGGCAGCUGUGACGUUAAGUGUAAAAGUUACUAUAUUAACCACCUGUAGCAUUUUUUUUUUGUUCGUUCUUGUUUUCCGUUUCCCAUUUUCCUAAAGCGCGCAGAAAAACGCGCGCGAAUAACAGAAAAAAACAGAAAAGCGUGUUUAUUAUGUGUCUACAAUGUGUGUGUGUGUGUGUGUUUGUUAGCUGUCUUAUGGCGCAUAUGUGCGUUAGACUACAUAAUAUUAAGUAAAUAAAUGCGCCCCAAUAGCUUUUUGCUAGCCCCUGCAAGUGUGUGAAAUUUGCAGUGAAAAAUAAGAAUGUGACAGUCUCUUUCGUUUUUUUGAGGUUAUGUGUGCAGUUAGGGGGUGUUGUUUGCAUUUGCAUAGAUAGAACAAUGAAAUGAAUAAGACAUGAGGCAAGCAGCAAAUGUUGAAUACUUUGCGUAUGGCGUACAAAUAAUAGAUAAUAAACACAAUGAUGCAAACAGAAUGAACUCAACUGACAAUAAAAACUUGGAGAAAAAGAAAACCAUUUUAAAUGUACAAAAAAACAAAGCAUGUGUGAAAAAUACAGACGGUAAAAGAAGACAUUAUAUGGCAUAUACAUUCAAUGAAUGUUAUUUAAAACGCUUGGCAUACCCAGAGGCUGGUCUGUAAAACUAAUUCGAAGAAUAUAAAAUCUGUUGAUGAAAAUAACGAAAAGGAAGAAGAAUCAAUUUAAAGUUUCCUUUUGAAUACUAAAAGCCAGACUCAGAGUCCAGUAGAUGGUUGGUCCAAAAAUCUUGAGAGGGGUUCGUUUAAUUUUUUUUUUGGUAAGACAGAGUAUUCAGCAGUCGGAGCUAUUGAGAAUUUGGCUAUUAAUCUUAUUGAUAAAAAUAACCUUCUGUCGAUAUUGUUAUCUUAUCGAUAAAAAUACCUUACUAUCGAAACUGUUACGGCCUCUAUGCUCUCUCUAACAAUUACAUUUACCCCAUAAAGUUUUUAUAAGCAACAACAAACUAAAUCUCUUGCCUUACUUUUCUCUUCACAGGUAUGUAAUACGAACUCAGCUCGCUUUUAACUCCAGCUCUGGUCAGCUUGGCCAGCUCGCAGUUUGUGUUGAUAAUCCACGCACAAGCCAAACAUUUGCGAUGUUUCAGUAUGUACGGCGGAAGCGGAAAUAAAAAGUGCAGACUUAAACGAGCCGCAGGCAACAGAAAAGGAUAAACAAAAAAUGAACGCGAAAAGAAUUGCAAAAGCACAAGAAGAAGCACAACAACAAGGCAACCACUAGACAAAAUGUUCACACUUGCAAUUAAACAAACAAAAAGAAAACAGAAUAAUUGUGAAACAAGAAUUUAAGCACGCCGAAAACUAAAUACCCUUGAAUAUUAUGAGAUUAAGCUAUUGCAUAUGUGCGAGAAAAAUUUAUAGAGGUUUUGGUAAGGAUAUCUGGAAAAGUUCUUGGUUCUUCCUUCAAGGUAUACAGAAGAGUAGUCUGAUAUUGAUAAGAUCUAUCCGUAGCAGAAAAGACGAAUAAUUGUAUAUUGAAAAUCUCUUUGUUUAAAGAGUAGAAAAUAUGUGCAUGUUUAUGUAAAAUAUAUGCAAUAGGAAGCCGAUGUAUAUAGCCUUAAGGAUCACAGACAAAUUUCCAAUUGCUACUGAUCAAGACUAUAUAAUCCUUUAUAAGGCCGGAUAUGUCCCCUUCUUAUCGUUACACACCGCAUGGCAAAACAAAAAUGCCCUCAGCGAGGGCAUAACUAUGGCAGAUGCUGAAAAGGCUGACUUCGCUUUAUGCGCCUGAAGGGCGUUCGUCUGUUGGCAAUUGGGUCAACAGGGCCGUACAAGAGCGCCACCUAGCGGCGCUAAACGAAUUACGAAGCGCAACCAAAGUGGGCAACAAAAAUAGAAAACGCACUUGCAAUCGAGUCCAAAUGGCCGGGUCCGAGGCCUGCAUACAAAAGUGCAGUCCAAACAGUUUGCAAUUAAAAUGGGGCCAAGAAUGGAGUCGAACAAAGCCCAGUAAAUGCUGCCACUGGCAGUGGCAGUGGCAGUAGACGUGCCCGUUGCUCUAAGUUCAGGUGUCUGCAAAUGAAAUUAUAAAAAAAAAAAAACACACACAUACACACACAGCCACACAGAGCUCACUCGACUUAAAGCUUCAGCCGCGGCCCAGAAACGUGCGACCAUUCGACAAUCUGUGGUUCGGGUCGAAGUGGGGCGAUGGGCGGGGGGCGCGGCCACUCUAGCUGGUCAUGACUGUGCACAGCUAUGGCCUAUGACUACAUAUAUGUAUUAUAGCUUUCACAUUCCUUCGCCACACUUGACCAAGUUAACUGGCAGCCGCUGCUGCCGCUGCUGCUGCGCCUGCUGCUAUUUGGUCUCGGUUCGGUCUCGGUCUUUGGUUCUAUUCCCGGCUGACCACUUAGCGAACCAGCUCGCCGCCACUUUCCCAAUGGCUGUCGCCUCCACAGACACACGCUGCAGUUUAUUGGAUUCCAUUCCCUGCUUCAUGCUGUCGCACAGUUGCCUUUUUGUAUUUGCUAAACAUUUUAACAUCUCGGCGGGCCGCUCUUCAAUUCCUGCCGCGUUAAAUGAAAAACACUCUCUCGUAUGCCUAAACUUGCUUUUGUUCUGGCCAAGUUUACUGGCAACGCAACCAACUGCCACUUUUAUUUUUCCCGAACCAGUCAAGUGGGCGUGGUCGCGGUCUGUUGGGUUUUGACACUCUUUGUUUGGAUCCUUUUUGGUAUUUAGCGCGUGGCCUCAUCGAAGCGCAGACAGGCCCGAAACACCAAAUAGUCUUUUAGCGUAAUUAAACUUUGGUUUUGGCCUGGGCAUAAAAAAGCUUUUUCAUUUUUAUGGCACGGAUUUUUUGGUAAAUUGUUAGCUGGAUUUUUGUGCAUGCAGCCGUUGUUAAUGUUGCGCAGCUUAGUAAAGUGAGUUUUAUUUAACAAAAGAAAAAACGAAUUUGUAGCAGAAAAAAAGUCCUACAAAUGUAGUUUUUAUGCACCAAAUAGACAAAGCGUUCAAUUGAAUUUGUUCGAAACUGUGGAUAUAAACCUUUACAAGAGAUUCACAGAGUUGACUCGCAUUAAAAUUUGGCUUUUAUUUCAUGCUGAUAACGUGCUUGUUCUACAGAGUAAGCCAACAGAGUGCGAACAUGUUAAAUGGGAUUACUUGGUUAUGUUAAGGGUUUAACAUUAAAUUUAGUAUGUAUAAUUUAUCUAUUAUUAACUUAACAGACUAUGAACAUGUUAAGGCUAACAGAAUGAUUAAUUUAGCCAUUAUUUAUUGCUGGAGCUCAGAGCUAACAGUGUGAUAUAGUUACAUAAUAUAAGAACUAACAUAACUAGCAUAUGUAACACCCUGCUGCUAUCUGCUUAGUGCUGUUAACAUACUUAACAGAACGUGCUUAUGUUAGAGCCCUUAAGUUUGGGUUAAUCAUUUGUAAUAAAAAAUAUCAGUUGCAUACAUGUAAUAAAUGAAGAAAAUCUUGACUCAAACACCCUGCAGCGGGCUGACAAAUUACACAAUCAAAAUAUUAAUUUAACCCCAAACACAUUACAAGUAACGCCACAGUCAUUAAUAAAAGUCGCUAACACUUCAAAAUGGAUAUAAAAAAAAUUUAAAAAUAAAAAUAAUAAACAAGAAGACAAAUGAUUAGCUAUAAAUUGUGUUGUGGUGGUGGCUGCCACAAGAAGUUCAAGAAAAAUGCAAAGUCUGUGGGAAAAGCAGAGAGCGAAAGAGACAGCAACAGACAAAAGCUGAAACAAAUUGACUUUCACUUUAAUGAUGUCUUUAGCAAUGAGCACAUAAAUUAAUAAACAUUCAACAUACAAAAAAUAUAUAAAAAAAAUAAAGAAAAAGGCACGAAUUGUGGCCCGGCUGACCAAAGCGCAUUCACCAUUUCCCGUUGCCAAUGCAACCGAGUGCUAAGUGGCCUUUCGAAAGACUUUCAAAUUUAACGGCCACGAUGCAUGUGUGCAAGUAUGUGUGUGUGUGUGUGUAAUAUUAUAUAGAAAAGCAACACAAGCCAAAUAAAAGUAAUAAAUAAAAAUAUACAACAAAAAGCGUAUGCACUCGGGCCAUGACUUUCGUUGCAGUUGCAGGCAAGUCAACAUGCAACAUGCAAAUGUUGACCAGGCUGCAGCUGAGCCCGCCUCCUGCCGCCCCUCCACUCGAUGUUUCUCUCUCUCUUUCUCUCUCUCCUAUUGAGUCAUGUCGUGUCGCUCAACCAUAACGAUAAGCCCCAAACCCAAGCGGCAAGCACCAAGCCCGACCCCACCGAGUGCCGCCACAAAAGCAACCGAAAGUCAUAAAAGUCUCUCGCCUGUCAGUUCAUCAGUUGACGGUCGACCCCAAAAAUGUGGGUCAACUGGGCCGUUGGACGCGCCUUUUAUGUGUGUGGACUUCGAUUCGAGUGAAAUUUUCGCGCUUUGAUUUUGACCCAUUCAUGUAUGAGCAAUCCAGCCACGCCAUCCCCCUUUUGUUAUUGAGCUAUGCACUUGGCUCUUUGAUUGAAUAGAUUUUUGUGGCUGCUCAACAUGCAACAUGCCGCAUGCCACAUGCCACAUUCCACUUGCUACCUUAUUUGGACCCACAAGCACAUUUGAUUUACGUCUGUGUCAACAGCCACUGCGACAGCUGCUGAAAAGGCGUUCGAGCGCAAAAAACACAGAAAUAAAUAAAACAGUCCGCGAUAAAAGAUAAAUAGCUCAGCGAUUACAGCUUAAAAUAAUACCUGAGAAAAGCAACACAAGAAACAAAA